UACGUAGGGGGGCAAGCGUUGUCCGGAAUUAUUGGGCGUAAAGCGCGCGCAGGCGGUCAUUUAAGUCUGGUGUUUAAUCCCCGGGGGCUCAACCCCCGGAUCGCACUGGAAACUGGGGUGACUUGAGUGCAGAAGAGGAGAGUGGAAUUCCACGUGUAGCGGUGAAAUGCGUAGAUAUGUGGAGGAACACCAGUGGCGAAGGCGACUCUCUGGGCUGUAACUGACGCUGAGGCGCGAAAGCGUGGGGAGCAAACAGG
rnacentral:rRNA from 1 species